rnacentral:rRNA from 1 species
ACUCAAAUGAAUUGACGGGGGCCCGCACAAGCGGUGGAGCAUGUGGUUCAAUUCGACGCAACGCGAAGAACCUUACCCAGGCUUGAACUGCGAGUGACCACUCACGAAAGUGAGCUUCCGCAAGGACACUCGUAGAGGUGCUGCAUGGCUGUCGUCAGCUCGUGUCGUGAGAUGUUGGGUUAAGUCCCGCAACGAGCGCAACCCUUGUUUGCUGUUGCCAUCAGGUUAUGCUGGGCACUCUGCAAAGACUGCCGGUGAUAAACCGGAGGAAGGUGGGGAUGACGUCAAGUCAGCAUGGCCUUUAUGUCUGGGGCCACACACGUGCUACAAUGGCCGACACAAACCGUCGCGAUACCGCAAGGUGGAGCUAAUCGGAGAAAGUCGGUCUCAGUUCGGAUCGUAGGCUGCAACUCGCCUGCGUGAAGUUGGAAUCGCUAGUAAUCGCGGAUCAGCACGCCGCGGUGAAUACGUUCCCGGGCCUUGUACACACCGCCCGU